AAAGGGGGCUUGCUCCUGGAUUCAGCGGCGGACGGGUGAGUAAUGCCUAGGAAUCUGCCUGGUAGUGGGGGAUAACGUCCGGAAACGGGCGCUAAUACCGCAUACGUCCUGAGGGAGAAAGUGGGGGAUCUUCGGACCUCACGCUAUCAAAUGAACCUAGGUCGGAUUAACUAGUUGGUGGGGUAAAGGCCUACCAAGGCGACGAUCCAUAACUGGUCUGAGAGGAUGAUCAAUCACACUGGAACUGACACACGGUCCAGACUCCUACGGGAGGCAGCAGUGGGGAAUAUUGGACAAUGGGCGAAAGCCUGAUCCAGCCAUGCCGCGUGUGUGAAUAAGGUCUUCCGAUUGUAAAGCACUUUAAUUUGGGAGGAAGGGCAGUAAGUUAAUACCUUGCUGUUUUGACGUUACCAACAGAAUAAGCACCGGCUAACUUCGUGCCAGCAGCCGCGGUAAUACGAAGGGUGCAAGCGUUAAUCGGAAUUACUGGGCGUAAAGCGCGCGUACGUGGUUCAUCAAGUUGGAUGUGAAAUCCCCGGGCUCGACCUGGGAACUGCAUCCAAAACUACUGAGCUAGAGUACGGUAGAGGGUGGUGGAAUUUCCUGUGUAUCGGUGAAAUGCGUACAUAUAGGAAGGAACACCAGUGGCGAAGGCGACCACCUGCACUGAUACUGACACUGACGUGCGAGAGCGUGGGGAGCAAACAGGAUUAAAUACCCUGCUAGUGCAUGCCGUAAACAAUGUCUGACUAGCCGUUGGGAUCCUUUGAGAUCGAGUGGCGCAGCUAAACGCGAUAAGUCAACCGCCUGGGGAGUACGGCCGCAGGUUAAUAACUCAAAUGAUUUGACUGGGGGCCCGCCCAACAGUGGAGCAUGUGGUUUAUUC
rnacentral:rRNA from 2 species